AACGGCCAUACCAUGCUGAAUAUACCGGUUCUCGUUAGAUCACCGAAGUCAAGCAUCAUUGGGCGCGGUCAGUACUUGGGUGGGUGACCACCUGGGAACACCGUGUGCCGUU
rnacentral:rRNA from 1 species